CUUCGUCACCACCACCACCAGAGACCUCAACAACUCCUUCACCUCUAACAAGACAAACCACAUCUGAACCUCUUCCAGCAGCAACAACUGCACCAUCCACACCUCUAGUAAACACAGCAGCUCCUUCUCUGUGGCCGUCUGUUCGUAUGGGGAUUGGGAUACUCUGUUUAAUCAUCAUGACCAGCAUCACUGUCACUACCUGGAGAAAAGCUCGACAGACACAGGGGCAACACACAGCGGCAACAGAAAAUGAUCCUCCAUCACACGAGAGCAGUAACUGAGCCGUGUUCAGCGUUCAUCCUCAGACAGUCUGACAGUAAAAAGUCCUCCAGCUUUCAACACUGUGACUAGUAGUCUAUAAGUGACACAGACCGUUUCAAGUAGUUUGAUUGUGGUCCUGCACAUGGCUGCACAUGCUGAUGUCUCACGCACAGUGUGGAGGAGUAACUUGUUACAUGUUAUUUAGUUACCUAAUUAAAUUACAAAAUAAAUGUAACAGUAAUCUCUUACAGUAACUGGGAAAAAAUGUGUUGUUAAAUUACAUUUACCUAUGAAAGUGUUCAUGAUUACAUUGUAAUCUGUAAAAAGCUCGGCUAUAUGUUGAAUAAUCUUCAUUUUGUUGCUUUGCAUGUUUUUCAUGUGCACAAUGUUUUGUGUAAGCGUGUAAGUAAAAUGAUGACGUAUACAUACAUUCAGUAUAACAGUGGGGUACAACAAAGACAGAAGAACUUGGAUCAAACAGCUUUGUGGAAUUUAGCUAAAGGUCCAAGUUAUCGUUCAUCAACCAUCCAACACACGAGUCAGAUCAGAAGUCAGAACCCAUCAGAGACUCUCCUCCUUCUGUAAACUGAAAUUGAACAACAUAAACCAGAAAGAAGAACAUUUUUUUUUUUUUGAAAUUUAAAAUCUCAACCAUCCAGGAAAUAAACCAAACAUCCUCAAAGUUUCUUUUUAAUGUUCAUUUUAAGUGAAUGAUAGUUUUUACAUUUGUGAACUGUCUGUGAUGUUUCCUGCUCUGUCCUCUUGUGUUUCCUCGCAGGUGUCUGGUCGACAGAGCUGGAGGACGUCCUGCACAGUUCACAGUUCUCUUUCUGCAUAGUCUUGUGUUUUUUGGCUUUGCCUUUUGUUACCUGCUUUCAUUCAGCUGGUGUGACAAUGAGAGAUAUUAUAUUAUUGAAGUAACACAUUCAGAGGAUUCUGUGCUUUCCAGUUAUUACAUGUGUUUUUGCUUGGUACCUCACUGCUCACAAUGCUCUUAACUUAACCCACAGAAAUUAAUUUCCUCUUCAUUCCUUAUUUCAAUUUUUGAGAACCUAUUAAGUACAAAUGAACUCAGAGUUUAGUAGUGCUUUGUGUUUAUGUAUUCACAUUGUUCUUAGCGCCACAUGAGCUUUGUAACGUCUCCUUUUUUAAAAUCUGUAUUCCGCUGAAAUGAGUGCAAAACA